AGCUUUUUCGUGCCAUUAAAAUUUGCUAGAACAUGUUAAAAAAAAUUUGGUGUUCAUAACAGCAAAAUCACCUUCAAAGUCUACUAAAAGUAUUUACUCAAACCUAUUUCUAGAUUUUUGGCUUUGCUUAUUCUUCUUAUAUUUUUAUUUGAGGUGAUCUAAACAUGAUUUUUAUACUAAGUGCAAUAUUUAGUAGGUUGGAUGUUUGCUAGGACAACCUAUAAUGAAAAUGCUAUUACUAAUGCUCUUUAAAUUUAAGCCACUAAAGUUGUAGAAAUGGUUCAAGGAGUACAUUACAUAAACAUGUAUGGGGUAGUGAUCAAAAGUAUUGUAGGCUUUGAAGAAAAAAUUGGACUUGAGAACAGUGAUAAAGAAAUUGGCAUCCCACUCAACUGAUUGCAGGAUUCUGGAGUAGUAGUCAAGGUAUGGUUGUCUUAAGUUAUAGAUUUGAAGAAUAAACAUUAUCUUUUCAAUUGCAUAUAAUGUUGCCGUCUGUACAAGUGGCUAUGAAAUGCAUAAAGAGGGUUGCGUCUGAACUUGAUGCAUUGGAUGGACCCGAUAAAGAACCAAACAGAGUUUUUUCUGCUUCAAGGCUGAUCGAUAUGGUGCAGAAUGGAAAGGGAGGCUAGAACUUUCAACUUGACGCUUAUAAUUGAGAAACAUAAGCUGAUCGAUAUUAUGAACUAUAUCUGAGUCAAUGUGAAUGCCCUCUUGGUUAAGGAAUUAAGUGUUCCCGAGCAUCUUCGCUUCAAAAAAUUGGUUGAUGGAACGCUGAUUACUGCUAGAGAAGACCUUGGAAAACACACCAAGAAAUGGUGCAGGCUAGGUUGCGUUGUUUGUGACAAAAACGAUUAGUGCCACCAGUAUUGAUGCUGCUAGACUUCAUGCCAUACGGGUACUUGAAUAUUUGGAGAAAUAUAUAACUGAACAUGCUGCUGGUGAUGCAGGUACUCAUUCGGUUAUCUCCAAAGAAAACAGCUUUGUACAAGCAAAGGAGCUGAGUUCAUAUUAUUACUCUUCGAUACAUUGAGUCAACGGGUACUGCUAUCACUGUUGCAGCAAUUGGCAUGUGAUAUUGGGAAUAAUACAUCUAAGAAACUUGGUUGGAUGAUGGAUCUGGUGGUGGUGAUUAAACCAACCGAUGGGAUCAUCACAAUGUAUAUAAGGCCCAUAUUUGAACAAGUGUACUCGAUCAGAUGAUUGUUCCCACAACUUUAGUUGCUGAGCUUUCCAGUAUUCGUGUGGUCACGAAACUCAUAAACUCGACGUUAAGGAGCAUGUGAUCUUCAGUAUACAUGCAUGUAUACAUGCAUGUGGUUUAUGCAAGAUUUCAUUUUUAUGUAAUCAUCAACUUAGCAAGACAACAUGAAAUGCUGGUGCUAUAGUAGGUUGUGCAAAUUUACUAAUUUGCCCCAGUCUCUUUUCACUUAUGCUAACAAUAUAAAGAUGAACCUGGAUAAUUUCUAAAAUCGUUCUAUUGAAAAUACAUAUCGUGGUUCGGGUCACUUUAUGUUCUCAUCAGUAAUCUUGGUUAAACCGAUCAGAAUCUCAGAUAAUCAAUCGUCUUCAAAGAUGAUUUAGAUCAACUACUUAUCAUUAAACUGUAUAUAUGAAUAUUCUUGAGAGGAACAGUGACGUUUUUUUAGCAUUGUAAUCUAACAGGUGUUGUUGGGCUUCAAUCUUCAGUGUAAAGCUAGCAAUUAGGCUCAUUUACACUUUGUAUAACAACAUGCAUUUACAUCUUAACUAUAGAAGCAUGUUUGGUAUAUACUAACCUGGUAUGUUUCUG